CAGUAGCCGCGGGAAUACAGAGGGUGCGAGCGUUAAUCGGAUUUACUGGGCGUAAAGCGUGCGUAGGCGGCUUUUUAAGUCGGAUGUGAAAUCCCUAAGCUUAACUUAGGAAUUGCAUUCGAUACUGGGAAGCUAGAGUAUGGGAGAGGAUGGUAGAAUUCCAGGUGUAGCGGUGAAAUGCGUAGAGAUCUGGAGGAAUACCGAUGGCGAAGGCAGCCAUCUGGCCUAAUACUGACGCUGAGGUACGAAAGCAUGGGGAGCAAACAGGAUUAGAUACCCCUGUAGUCCCUGUCUCUUAUAC
rnacentral:rRNA from 1 species